AAAUUCUAAAACCUUGAUAACCGCCAGACCAUUUAGAACACAAAAAAAAUAAAAAAUGGAAUCUCUCUUAAAAGUUUCCUCUUCCCAAAUAGAGGCAACAAUAAUCCCUUAGGUUUAGUUUUUCAGAAAAACCAUUUCCGUCGCCUCGAUUUCAUCAGAAAACCAGUUAGCGAAUUGAUAUCUAAGAAAAACCAGUUAUCAGAAAAACCAGAUCAUGAUCUUGGGUUCCAUCGAAUUUGCGCUUCGAUUUUCAGGCUGAUGGGCGGUGGCGAUGAUGGGGGAGAGGUGUGAUGAAGGAAGGAGACUAGGAGAGAGAAAGAAGUCUAAUGGGAAAUUGCUUGGCCGUUUGUCACUUGAAUUUUCCGAUCAUUGAUUUUCCCAAUUAGUUUUAGGUCAUGAGUUCCUGACUCGUUGCUGCAAUCGGGUGAUUUUGAUGGAUCAUUUCUUCAUGGGACAAUGAAAGUACAGCUGGUGGGCCAUAUGAUGGUUAUAAUUACAAAGAUGCAGAGGAGGACAUACUUGUUUAUGAACCUCAUAGGAUCUGGAUAUACUUCUUUUCUCCUUUAUGUUACCUGAGAUCAGUUUGGCAUAUUUAUUUCCUGUUGUGAUCAACAAAGUCGUUUGAAUCACUCGUCGUCUCGCUCUUUAUCUUGGGUUUCAUCGAAUUCCCACUUCCAAUUUCAGGUUCAGGUGCUUACCGUUCGUGAAGACUGUCAGCAUCUCUAGUAAGAUACUCGAUUUGUAGUAUCUUUUUUACAUUACUAGGUUUAUGAUGCAACCAUAUUGAUUUCAGGAAUAAGAUAACUCAUUUCACUUUUUUCAUAUAACCCCCCCCCCCUUCCUGAUUUAUUCUGAUGAAGUCUGAUUUCUCGACCCAAGGAUUCAGGUAGUCAACAUUGUUGAUGCCCUCAAACUUGUAUAACUGUUUGAGGGUAGAUCAGUGGCAUAUACAUUAUUUUGUAGCUCCAUCUUACAAUGUUUUCCUAAAUCAUAUUAUAUGACUUGUAAUAUUCUAAAGGGUGUAUAAUUUGUUUCAUAUGUAUGGUUAAUCAUACCUACUAAAGCGAGCAUGUUUCAAGCUUCGAGCAGUAGGUAAACUUAGUUUAUAUUGCUUCACAAAAAAGACAAAGUUUCAUGUACAUAAGGUAUUUGUUGCGUGGCUCCAGGCUUUAUUUGUUUAAAAGAUUAGUCUGAUGGUCUUUGGAAAUCCAAAAUGAAUGUAUGCUAUGAAAAAUAGUUUGACUCGGUGGAUCUUGAAGAAGAAGUGAUUAUAUCUCCACUUCUUUCUAGCAGUGGAUUUUUACAAUUUUUUAUUUUUUAUUUUUUAAAUUCUACUAGCAGCAAAUUAACCAUAUUUAUAAUGGAGUUUUAAUGAACUGAAUUCUACUUUGUCCAAAGAGUAUAUGAAAAGUGGGAGAGCUAAUGGGAAAACUGAUGGUUAUAUCUUUGGGGUUCUGGAUUUCUUGUUCUAGAGGUCUUGAAUGGAAAAUGUCCAACAGAUGCCUAUUUCAUUGAUAAGGGUCUGUGUACUGUUCGUUGGAUAUACAAUAACUUUCAGCUAUUCAUGUUCUUAAUUGUUUAGAUGUUCAUGUUCGCAUGGGAAGCUCUCUGGUGGAAUUUUGUUGUUCAUUAUUAGGAUUGAACUAAAUUGAGUAUCUGCGAAAUUUCAAGUUGGUAAGAAACUUUGUUUGUACUCUUUAUGGUAAUUGAUUCUUUUCUUGGCUGAAUCUUUUAGCAACGUAAAUUAGUUCUUGCUUAAAUCUUGUUUAUCUGAUUAUCAAUACUAAACUAAAAGGUAAGGAAUUAUGUCACGGGAUUUAGUAAAGAAAUUAUAUCAGCAUUUAUGUGCUUAUAUGAAAAUUUCUCUACUACGGAGUAUAAAUUAUCGUACUUUACCAUCCGACCUUAUUAAUUGAUGUUGUCUUCCACAUAUAUUCAUAUUCUUCUUUGGAGAUAAUGAGCUUUAAUGUAGUUAUUGGUCUUAACACCUCCUUAUGGAGGAGAAACAAAUACACCCAACAAUCAAUGUUGUUCCCAAGUUCACUCGUCCCAUGGGUUACAGAUUUAAUUUAUAGUCGACAUCUAGACUUUAUGAUGGUGCAAAGCUGUAAAAAAUUCUCCCCACCCCCUUAAAAAGUGAAAAAGAAAGAAGAGAAAAGGUAGACAGAAAAAGAAUCUGUAUAUGAAGACCAUCUUAACCCUUAACACUGGUGUGGAUAAUCUUGAUAUUCUCAUUUGGUUGUUCUUGCAGUUGUUUAUCACUGUCUUAACCCCAUAACUGCAAUGUUGAUAUUUUUCAUUGGUCAUCAUGUGGCAGUGUUUGGCUAUCAUGGAGCAAGAUAAUUUACUAAUUCAAUCUUCAGUUGGUUGUACGACCUUAUUUGCUCUCGUGCUUACAUAGUCAUGGUGAAUUCGGGACUCAAUAACAUAUUUUGAUGCUUUGGAGAAUUCAUGAGCAACCUAAGAGAGUCUCUUCGCCAUACGAUACUCUGGGCCUGCAGCCUGCAGGAUCAAGAUGAUGGAUUGGAUCGGAUAGCAAAUGAAGAUUAAAGUUGACAUUGAGAAUCAUGCAGACGUGUAAGGGAAACCAGUUGAAGAUGAAAAGGUAGAAGACAUUUAGUUUUGGAUUAUACAUUUUAGUUUAGGAUAUGAUCAUUUGCUUUUAUUUUGAACAUAAUAAUGUAAUUUUCAUAUAUAGUACAUCAAAUACUAUUCUUUUAAUUUGUUAAUUUGUUAGGGAGUGGGUGUGCUCCCUUCCUUUAAUUGUUUCCUUGUUUGGAACUUAUUUUGUGUACGUACUAUCUUUUGGUAAUAAAAUUGCUAUUUUACCAAAAAAAUUAUAAA